rnacentral:rRNA from 1 species
AGUGAACGCUGGCGGUAGGCCUAACACAUGCAAGUCGAACGGCAGCACAGUAAGAGCUUGCUCUUACGGGUGGCGAGUGGCGGACGGGUGAGGAAUACAUCGGAAUCUACUUUUUCGCGGGGGAUAACGUAGGGAAACUUACGCUAAUACCGCAUACGACCUACGGGUGAAAGCAGGGGAUCUUCGGACCUUGCGCGAUUGGAUGAGCCGAUGUCGGAUUAGCUAGUUGGCGGGGUAAAGGCCCACCAAGGCGACGAUCCGUAGCUGGUCUGAGAGGAUGAUCAGCCACACUGGAACUGAGACACGGUCCAGACUCCUACGGGAGGCAGCAGUGGGGAAUAUUGGACAAUGGGCGCAAGCCUGAUCCAGCCAUACCGCGUGGGUGAAGAAGGCCUUCGGGUUGUAAAGCCCUUUUGUUGGGAAAGAAAAGCAGCAGGUUAAUACCCCGCUGUUCUGACGGUACCCAAAGAAUAAGCACCGGCUAACUUCGUG